rnacentral:rRNA from 1 species
CAGCCGCCGCGGUAAUGCGUAGGUGGCAAGCGUUGUCCGGAAUUAUUGGGCGUAAAGGGCUCGCAGGCGGUUUCUUAAGUCUGAUGUGAAAGCCCCCGGCUCAACCGGGGAGGGUCAUUGGAAACUGGGAAACUUGAGUGCAGAAGAGGAGAGUGGAAUUCCACGUGUAGCGGUGAAACGCGUAGAGAUGUGGAGGAACACCAGUGGCGAAGGCGACUCUCUGGUCUGUAACUGACGCUGAGGAGCGAAAGCGUGUGGAGCGAACAGGAUUAGAUACCCCAGUAGUCCCUGUCUCUUAUAC